rnacentral:rRNA from 1 species
UGAGCAAUCUGCCCUUCUCAUCGGAAUAAGCGUUGGAAACGACGUCUAAUGCCGAAUACGACCUCCUUUCGCAUGAUCGGAGGUGGAAAGCUCCGGCGGAGAAGGAUGAGCUCGCGGCCUAUCAGCUAGUUGGUGUGGUAAUGGCCCACCAAGGCGACGACGGGUAGCUGGUCUGAGAGGAUGAUCAGCCACACGUGGGACUGAGACACCGGCCCAGACCUCCG